GGGGAGGAGCUUGCUCCGCCCCGACGACGAGUGGCGAACGGGUGAGUAAUACAUCGGAACGUGUCCGCUCGUGGGGGACAACCAGCCGAAAGGUUGGCUAAUACCGCAUGAGUUCUACGGAAGAAAGAGGGGGACCCGCAAGGGCCUCUCGCGAGCGGAGCGGCCGAUGACUGAUUAGCCGGUUGGUGAGGUAACGGCUCACCAAAGCAACGAUCAGUAGCUGGUCUGAGAGGACGACCAGCCACACUGGGACUGAGACACGGCCCAGACUCCUACGGGAGGCAGCAGUGGGGAAUUUUGGACAAUGGGCGCAAGCCUGAUCCAGCUAUUCCGCGUGUGGGAUGAAGGCCCUCGGGUUGUAAACCACUUUUGUAGAGAACGAAAAGACACCAUCGAAUAAAUGGUGUUGCUGACGGUACUCUAAGAAUAAGCACCGGCUAACUACGUGCCAGCAGCCGCGGUAAUACGUAGGGUGCGAGCGUUAAUCGGAAUUACUGGGCGUAAAGGGUGCGCAGGCGGUUGAGUAAGACAGAUGUGAAAUCCCCGAGCUUAACUCGGGAAUGGCAUAUGUGACUGCUCGACUAGAGUGUGUCAGAGGGAGGUGGAUUCCACGUGUAGCAGUGAAUGCGUAGAUAUGUGGAAGA
rnacentral:rRNA from 1 species